UGUUGCGGACGGGUCUAGAAUUUAUCCAGCGGGGGGUUCACGGUGAGCUGACUUCUCAUACGUUGUCACACGACGACAAUCCGUCCUCCAUUUUUUUUUUUUUUGUCGGAAGCAGUCAUGGGCAGAAUGAACACUAAUUGAUUUAACGGCGAGUUAAGAAUCCGGGCGACGUGGCGAGUUGUUGAUACAUUAAUUAACAUUUCGCUAGUUUCACUUCACAUCUCACAGGUGACCUUGAACAGACGAAAUGAGUUGAAGAGUUGCAAGUCAGCAGCGAGCUGAUUAGGAAUGCGGCGUGCAUCCUGGACUUCCCGUUUGGUAAUCUGUCUUUUUUUUGCUGUUCUUUCUCCCGCGGACUUUCCAUUUUGCCUCUGCCAAGCCUCUACGACAACGCUGCUCCAGCCAGGAAGUCAUGCUGGUCCUCGCCUGCCAAUGUGUCUGAACUGGCUUUCUUAGGAGCACGUAUACGGCGAAACCGGUGGCAGCUCAUACAACAAUAGACACCCUACAAGAUAUACACACACCCAAGCAGUAGCCACGGCCUUGAGAUGUUCCGGCGGUGAUCUCGAAACCUCGUGGAGUGAGAUCCUGAUCUGUCCCGGGACAUUAUCCUGUCGGCGCUCGCGCACAUUGACACUUCGUGAGGACAAGCGGGCACCGAGCGAGCGCAAGUCGUUUUCUCUCCGGCUUUCUGACGAGAGACGUCUUCCAUGACAGAGUCAACAAAGUGUCAAGGAUGAUGGAAGAUGAAAAAAUAAAAAAGAGGAUCCGUUAGAACUGUUACUGGCUGAAUUUUGGAAACUAUUCCCACUUUCCGAUUUCCUCAUCCAGUCAGACAUGUUUGAAAAUACACUCACUCAGUAUUGACCAGCUUUUUGUUUAUGAGAAUGUAUUUUUGAUGCACUUUCUUUCUUUUGCGUUUUUUUUUUUAAAGGGUCACUUCCAGUUUUUGACUGAAAGGGCUUUAAUAUGCUAGUAGUUACUAACGUCCAGAUGAAAACGCUUUGCAUCUGCAUGUAAAUCAUAGGGUCUCAUUUUAUAGGGUCUGGGACCCCAGCUUUUUCAUCCAUCCAUUUUCUUUGCCGCUUAUCCUCACAAGGGUCGCAGGGAG